UUUGUUCUCAAUAGUCUUUCUCCAUAGCUCCUACUUUUGAUUAACUGUUUUACUAGUUUCAUCUACUAAAACAAUAUUAUUUGCAAAUAAUAUGCACCAUGGGACAUCAUCUUAAAAAUGACUAGCCAGCUCAUCCAUAAAACCUACCAUGAAUCCAUUGUGAUGUGAAACUCGUCUGUGUCCCUCCCACUAUCCUUACACUCAUGAUCACCCCUCAUACAUGUCCUUAAAAACAUUUAUAUACUUGAGAUUUACUCCUUUAUUCUUUAGCAUCACCAAAGAACUUUUAUCGGUAAUCUAUCGUAUGCUUUUUCUAGGUCAGUGGAUAAUAUGGGGAGAUCCUUUUUACUCUCCUUGUAUAUUUCUAUCAAUCUUAUUAAAAAGAUAGGCUUUGUUGUUGAUCUACCAAGCAUCAAGCCAAACUGGUUCUCUGAUUCCUCAGUAGUGUCCUUGAGUCUACGCUUAAUCACUCUUUUCCAUAGCUUAAUCGUAUGAUUCUUCAGUUUAAUACUACAGUAGUUUGUACAACUUUGGAUAUCUCUUUUAUUCUUAAAGAUAGAAACCAAAGAGCUAUUCCUCCAUGCAUUUGCCAUCUUUUUCGAUUGUAGUAUGCCAUUGAAUAGCUUGGUUAGCCAAGCCACUCCAACCUCCUCAAUGCACCUCCAUAUUUUUAUAGGGAUACCAUCUAGGGGGCUGCAAGCUAUCCUAAUCUUCAUAUUCUUCAACCUAUAUGAAAAAAUGAAAAGAUCCAUAAUUAGAGUUUGAAUACCAUUAAAAUCAGUGUUAUCAAGG
rnacentral:misc_RNA from 1 species